GAGGUUGCUAGCAGGAAAGAUUGUUAUCGUUCGGUCGCGUUUUGGUGGUUUACAGAUGAUGCACACAGGGAAGGCGGCUUUCGCUGGUGUGUGAUACACUGAUUUCUCACCUCAUGGCGUACAUGGUAGCGGGAAAGAUUUUUAUCGUCCGAUCGCGUUUUGAAUGGUCAUAAUAUACUACUGGUGUUUCAGAUCUUCACAGUUUGAGCACUCAGAAAGCAAAGUACCAACAGGGGAUGUUGUAUUCUUUGAAGGUAUGGUA